rnacentral:tRNA from 1 species
GGCUGUAUAGUUCAGUGGUAGAACGCGAGUCUCAUGAGCUCGAGGUCCUGGGUUCGACUCCCAGUACAGCCA